ACCAGUAACUCCUGUUACUCUCCCUUCAUGACUGUGUGGUCCUGUAGUGAACUCUCCCUUCAUUAUGUGACUGUGUGGUCCUGUAGUGAACUCUCCCUUCAAUACGUGUGUGGUCCUGUAGUGAACUCUCCCUUCAAUACGUGACUGUGGUUCUGUAGUGAACUCUCCCUUCAAUACGUGUGUGGUCCUGCCAUGUCAUCUAAAACAACAACACAGAGUUACAAAUGGGAGAAAACAAAUGUACAGUCAAUAACACAAUAGAAAAAUCAGUAUACAGUGUGUGGAAAUGAGGUAAGGAGGUAAGGCAAUGAAUGGGCCAAUGGUGGCGAAGUAAUUACAAUUUAGCAAUUUACACUUGAGUGAUAUGUGUGCAGAUGAGGUUGUGGAAGUAGAAAUACUGGUGUGCAAAGGAGCAGAAAAACACAAAUAAUAUGGGGAUGAGGUAGGUAGUUGGUUGGAUAGGCUAUUUACAGAUGGGCUAUUUACAGAUGGGCUAUUUACAGCUGCAGCGAUCGAUAAACUGCUCUAACAGCUGACGCUUAAAGUUAGUAAGGGAGAUAUAAGUCGCCAGCUUCAGUGAUUUUUGCAAUUUGUUCCAGUCAUUGGCAGCAGAGAACUGGAAGGAAAAGCGGCCAAAGAGGUGUUGUCUUUGGGGAUAACCAGUGAAAUAUACCUGCUGGAGUGCGUGCUACGGGUGGGUGUUGCUAUGGUGACCAGUGAGCUGAGAUAAGGCAGAGCUUUUCCUAGCAAGGACUUAUAGAUGACCUGGAGCCAGUGGGUUUGGUGAUGAAUAUGUAGCGAGGACCAGCCAACGAGAGCAUACAGGUCGCAGUGGUGGGUAGUAUAUGGGGAUUUGGUGACAAAACGGAUGGUACUGUGAUAGACUGCAUCCAAUUAGCUGAGUAGAGUGUUGGAGGCUAAUUUGUAAAUGACAUCGACGAAGUCGAGGAUCGGUAGGAUGGUCAGUCUUACGAGGGUACGUUUGGCAGCAUGAGUGAAGGAUGCUUGGUGUGAAAUAGGAAGCUGAUUCUAGAUUUAAUUUUGGAUUGGAGAUGCUUAAUAUGAGUCUGGAAAGAGAGUUUAUAGUCUAGCCAGACACCUAGGUAUUUAUAGUUGUCCACAUAGUC
rnacentral:lncRNA from 13 species